CAACUUUUAACAAUGGAUCUCUUGGCUCUCGCAUCGAUGAAGAACGCAGCGAAAUGCGAUAAGUAAUGUGAAUUGCAGAAUUCAGUGAAUCAUCGAAUCUUUGAACGCACCUUGCGCUCUCUGGUAUUCCGGGGAGCACACCUGUUCGAGUGUCAUUG
rnacentral:rRNA from 1 species